UACGUAGGGGGCAAGCGUUGUCCGGAUUUAUUGGGCGUAAAGAGCGUGUAGGCGGCCAGGUAGGUCCGCUGUGAAAACUCGAGGCUCAACCUCGAGAUGUCGGCGGAAACCAUCUGACUAGAGUCCGGAAGAGGAGAGUGGAAUUCCUGGUGUAGCGGUGAAAUGCGCAGAUAUCAGGAAGAACACCCGUGGCUAAGGCGGCUCUCUAGUACGGUACUGACGCUGAGACGCGAAAGCGUGGGGAGCGAACAGG
rnacentral:rRNA from 1 species